GCGUGGGUGGCUCAGUCGGUUAAGCAUCUGACUUCAGAUCAGAUCAUGAUCUCAUGGUUUGUGAGUUUGAGCCCCACAUCAGGCU
rfam:Felis catus isolate Cinnamon breed Abyssinian chromosome A2, whole genome shotgun sequence.